CGGACGGGUGAGUAACGCGUGGAAAACCUGCCGUAUACUGGGGGAUAACACUUAGAAAUAGGUGCUAAUACCGCAUAAGCGCACAGCUUCGCAUGAAGCGGUGUGAAAAACUCUGGUGGUAUACGAUGGUUCCGCGUCUGAUUAGCUAGUUGGUGGGGUAAUGGCCUAUCAAGGCAACGAUCAGUAGCCGGCCUGAGAGGGUGAACGGCCACAUUGGGACUGAGACACGGCCCAAACUCCUACGGAAGGCAGCAG
rnacentral:rRNA from 1 species